UACAUGGAUAACUGUAGUAAUUCUAGAGCUAAUACAUGCCACUAUGCCCUGACCCGCAAGGGAACGGGUGGAUUUAUUAGAACAGAACCAACCGGUUGUGGCUUCGGCUGCUUCCGUUGCACUCUGUGAUGACUCUGGAUAACUUCACUGAUCGCAGUCGGCCUUGUGUCGGCGACGGAUCUUUCAAAUGUCUGCCCUAUCAAUUUUCGAUGGUAGGUGACCUGCCUACCAUGGUGAUAACGGGUAACGGGGAAUCAGGGUUCGAUUCCGGAGAGGGAGCCUGAGAAACGGCUACCACUUCCAAGGAAGGCAGCAGGCACGCAAACUACCCAAUCCCGGCACGGGGAGGUGGUGACGAAAAAUACGGAUACGGGACUCGUAUGAGGCUCCGUAAUUCGAAUGAGUACAAUUUAAAUCCUUUAACGAGGAUCAACUGGAGGGCAAGUCUGGUGCCAGCAGCCGCGGUAACUCCAGCUCCAGAAGCGUAUAUUAAAGUUGUUGCAGUUAAAAAGCUCGUAGUUGGAUCUGGGUCGUAUGGCUACGUGCCGUUGCUCGCAUUCUCGGCUUGGUUUCGACUAGGUCAAGUUUGUGGGUCGGUGUCGUGGCUGUGCAGCCUUUCUGCCGUGUCUGUUUCGACAGGUGCUGACUUAAUCGAUGGGCUUGUCUCGUUGGUUGGUUGGCAUGCUU
rnacentral:rRNA from 1 species